UUUCCAUAGAGAGGCCUCCGGGUGUCACAUGAUGGACAUGAUAUAACGAAACAACAUCGUGGGGAGGAAGGGAGGGAAGCGGUGGGGGAGCCCGGGGAGGCGGCGGGGUAGGCGGUGGUGCCCCCCGACCCGCCCGCCCCGGCUGCACCUGUCUCGGCGCGCCGGGAGCGCGGUGUCCGCCCCGCUGAUGGGGCUGCGGGCGGCACCUUCCCCCGGGGAGGGGACGACGACGAGGAGGAGGAGGAGGAGGAGGAGAAGGAGAGCCGGUGGCGGAGGUUUUCGUGGCUGUUCUGAUUCCUGUUGCUGCAGCCAGCGUGGAUGCCGUGGCUGCAGAGGCUUGUUACUUUUCUGAUGCUGGAUCCCUCAAAUCCGAGAGCUGCUUGGCAGUUUCCAAGGCAACCACCUGUGGAAUAAUUAAAAAGGAUGAAGUGCUAGCCUGCCAGAUAUAAGGAAUUCUUGCCUGGAGAGAGAGCAUUUCACUUUUCAUCUGCCUUGAAGAAUCAAAUGUGCUUCUGCCAGCAGAGUUAAGAAAACAGGAACGGUGGCUGAGUUGUUCGAGUGAACCGGGACAAUCCAAAACGUGACUCAAGGCAGGAGGGAGCAGAUGGCAGCGUCGUUAGCUGGUGGCCACAGCCUUCCCAGAUGAGUUUUGGAAUUUCCAUCAAAGUCGGGAUUAGGCUCAGGAUAUGCCGGUGGCACAGAGCACGCCGGGGGAGCGUGGAAGAAGAGGAAAUCAUUCAUAGCGACUCAUCUCGUGGUUGGGUGCUGAUCCCACAGAGGUGUCCUGCAUGUGCCAAAAGGACGAGCACGUUGAGGGAAAAGCUGUUCAUAAAUCUGUGCGAACUUGAAAGAUUCUGAGGACAAACCUGUCAGUAGUGAAUUGUCCCAGAAGCACAUGGAGAAAGUUGUACAUGGUGGAGGCUGUUCUUUCUGAGCUGACAGAUAAUUUCUCAGUGGUUCCUUCAUCUCCAUCAUGCCAUGGGGUGUCUGCAGCAGCUCAUAAAUGAGAUCCAUGGUGAGGCGUUAAGUAAGAAGUUCUCACAGUCCCUUCCCCUGCUAUGUAGACAGAGCCUUUCUGCAGACUUGUCACUCUGUCAUCUUCCCCUGGCUCCAUGUUCUAUUAAAAAAAAAAAAAGGAAUUUAAGAAGUUACAGUAAGUUGAGCAGUUUGUCAGAUGUAAUGUUCUCACAGGCCAUUGUCUGCAAAUUACAGGCUGGCUCGCUCUUUCAGAUGGAUCGUAAAGCUGUCCCUAAGUCAAGCUCUCAGAAAAUCCAUUUUACACAAGCUCCUGUUGUGGCAGGGCAUGGAAAGGAAGCAGUAGGACUUCUUUUUUUAAUGAAUUUCCUGUGCAGGAUCAUUAGGUCCACAUGGAAGUCUUUCCAAGUCGCACCCAGUGCAUGUUCUCUCUGAUUAUCCCUGAUUAAUCUGAUAAAGUGCCCACAGUUGUCAUUUGCAGUCACAGAUGGGAUCACAGUUCUCAUAUUAUUCCAAGUGCAGGAAUUCUGCAGGAGUUUAUCAGUGGAAGGGAGAGGGUUCUCUGAUAGGUGUUUUGAAUGCAGCUAAACCACGUGUAAAUCACCACAGUUACUCAGUGGCAAAACAAAACCAUUGUAAACUUUAUUCUUGCAGUGCUUUAAUUGCAGACAAAGCUUUACUCUUGCAAGUGAUCCCAUCAGUGUCAAAUAAAAACGUGAAUUAUGAAGUAUUUAGGAUUAGGGCUUAAGUCACUGGCGUGUCAUUCUCAUAAUUUUCUCUGCAGGAUUACAGAGUACUUAAUUUGUAACUACAGAAACAAAAACAUAAUCAGAUGCUCCUCCAUCUACCAUUUUUAGCAAUUUACAGUGAAUUCUGGGUUUGCUCUUCCUAUUUUCCGAGCUCCUGCUCUUAAAUGUAAAAAAAAUUAACUAACUCCUCUGUUCCUCUUCU